UACGUAGGGUGCGAGCGUUAAUCGGAAUUACUGGGCGUAAAGCGUGCGCAGGCGGUUUUGUAAGCCAGAUGUGAAAUCCCCGGGCUUAACCUGGGAAUGGCAUUUGGGACUGCAAGGCUUGAGUGCGGCAGAGGAGACUGGAAUUCCUGGUGUAGCAGUGAAAUGCGUAGAUAUGUGGAGGAAUACCGAUGGCGAAGGCAGCCUCCUGGGCCAACACUGACGCUCAUGCACGAAAGCGUGGGGAGCAAACAGG
rnacentral:rRNA from 1 species